ensembl:lncRNA
GCCCAUGUUUCUCUCUGGAAUUGAAGUCACAAGAUGGAAAAUUAUUCAUAAUUGCAAUCAUAACAUACCAUACAAUAGAGAGUUUCCUGCCAAGGAAACUUUGAUUUCAAAGACCUUACGCAAGUCGCAUGUAGUCGUGACUAUUUUUUUUUUGCAAGAAGCUCCUGCCAGCCUUCAAACUCAACACAACCCAGGUGAUAUCCACAUCAUGGGUACUACCAAGAUUUUCCUGCUCCUUCUCUCAGUGGCCCUGUUGGCCCUGAGCUCAGCUCAAGGAACACCCAAGGAAGCCCCAAGACAGCAACCUGCUGAACCUGAACCAGCCCCAAGGCAACAAACUAGGAAAAGUAAAGACGCAGAAGAGCCAGGCGACCCACCUGAAGGAGAACCAGGUCCACCACCUGAAGGAGAACCAGGCGAACCACCUGAAGGAGAACCAGGUCCACCACCUGAAGGAGAACCAGGUGCACCACCUGAAGGAGAACCAGGUGCACCACCUGAAGGAGAACCAGGUGCACCACCUGAAGGAGAACCAGGUGCACCACCUGAAGGAGAACCAGGUGCACCACCUGAAGGAGAACCAGGUGCACCACCUGAAGGAAGAAGCUAUCUCAGACCUAGCCACAAGCCUACUCAUGCCAAUAUCUUCAAGGAGAGAAGAGAAGAAGAAAUAGGAGAACCAGGUGCACCACCUGAAGGUAAGUAGUAUGUCUAUCUCUAAACACUCCUUUCUUUCCCCGUUCCUUGAGGACCCUAGACCUUGUUCUCAUUUGAAACCAUUUGGCACAUCCACUCUUAAAGUUCAGUACCAAGAAAGAGAGGGUAAUAAUGAACUAGGAGGGUGGUCAGGUUAAAAGGCUUUGUUUUCUCUUGCCAUUGCAUAGCUCACAUAUUUCCACCAGAGAUUUUCCCAGAUCAAAAAUCCAAAAUGAUUUUCUCAUCUUUUCCUAAAGCAUAGUUUGCUUUUUUCCAUUGCCUAAUACCCUAGAUCAAAGAUUUCAAGAUCACUUUGUAAUAUUUAAUGCAAUGUUCUCUUCAUGUCUCUGCAGUGUGGGUAUUUCUCUCUCUCUUUCUCUGUGUUUUCACAGUCCCUCUGUGUCUGGUCUUUCUCUGAAUUGAUAUCUUUAUCUCUCUGUCUCUGUCUUGCUUUUUCUCUGCCUUUGUCUCUCCCUCUGUCUCUCUCUCUUUCACACACACACACACACACACACACACACACACACACACACAUGCACACACACAUUUUCUCUGUA